UAGUGAGUUUGAUCCUGGCUCAGGACGAACGCUGGCGGCGUGCCUAAUACAUGCAAGUCGAGCGCAGGAAAUCGACGGAACCCCUUCGGGGGGAAGUCGACGGAAUGAGCGGCGGACGGGUGAGUAACACGUAAAGAACCUGCCCUCAGGUCUGGGAUAACCACGAGAAAUCGGGGCUAAUACCGGAUGGGUCAUCGGACCGCAUGGUCCGAUGAUGAAAGGCGCUUCGGCGUCGCCUGGGGAUGGCUUUGCGGUGCAUUAGCUAGUUGGUGGGGUAAUGGCCCACCAAGGCGACGAUGCAUAGCCGACCUGAGAGGGUGAUCGGCCACACUGGGACUGAGACACGGCCCAGACUCCUACGGGGA
rnacentral:rRNA from 1 species